UCAGUUCGGAUCGCAGUCUGCAACUCGACUGCGUGAAGCUGGAAUCGCUAGUAAUCGCGGAUCAGCAUGCCGCGGUGAAUACGUUCCCGGGCCUUGUACACACCGCCCGUCACACCACGAGAGUUUGUAACACCCGAAGUCGGUGAGGUAACCUUUAUGGAGCCAGCCGCCGAAGGUGGGACAGAUGAUUGGGGUGAAGUCGUAACAAGGUAGCCGUAUCGGAAGGUGCGGCUGGAUCACCUCCUUUCUAAGGA
rnacentral:rRNA from 1 species